ACUGGCCCUGUUGGAGCUGGCUUUACUUCACAGAUUAAUUGGUCUGGUUUUCAGAAUAACUGGCUUGUAUCUGUUGGGGCUCGAACACAACUGUGUGAUUGGGUCACACUCCUAAAUUCAGCCUUGUAGAGCAUGUCAUCUCCCACAGGGUCUGAGCUGGGACCUGGUAGAGUCAGGUGGGGGUUUCCCAUUGGCUUUAAUGAGAGCAGGAUUAAGCCCUGGGUAAUGAGAAGUAUCAGUAUGGCUAACAAGUUAGGCCAAGGUUACCAUAUCAGGGCUGGUGGGUAUUGAUAGGAAGCUUUUGCCAUCUCACAAACCCACUCUAUAACAUUAUUUGUCCUUUGUGAUGGUGCUUUUCACCCUUGGAUCCCCAAGCACUUUUCUUAGGAUUCUCUCUGAGACCUUUCCACUUGGCUUAUUCAGAACACAUCAUCCAGUUCUCUGGGAUCCAAAAAAACUCAAUUCGACGCCAGCUGGUCACCCAGGUUACUUUAUUAGGCAUGUAACAAACAGCUCUUUGUCCACACUGGCUAGGCGCAGACACAGGGGGUUGAGGUACAGGGUGAUACCACAAUUCCAAUUCCUGUCACACAACACACAGUUAAUAUACAUCUUUCCUAGCUACUAACAUCUCUGCUUCUUGCGUGCAAAGACCAAACGCUUUGCAGAUUGCAUAAGGACCAAUCGCUUUUGUCUGAUAAACCUCAUAGACGCUACAGAGGUACGUCAGGAUUAUUCUUCCCUUGUUACAGGUUGGGUAGCUGCAGCACAGAGAAAUUAAUGCACCUGCACCAAGGACACGCAGCAAGUCAGUGGCAGAACAAGGACUAUAAAGGAGGAAUUGUCCAUAUGCUAUUAGCCUCGUGUCUAAUAUCAAUACAGGUGUUUCCGCUCUAAUACAUCUCAGCCUCCAUUUCCAACCUUCUUUCUUGGAGGAAUGCUUAUACUGAGCCAUGGAGGUAGACAGAAACUGGUGGCAGUCUGCAGCCUGCACCUCGCAGGUGAGCUCCGAAUGCCUGCACCAUUACAGUGCCAUUGGCCUGAACUGCCAAGGGCCACUCGGUUAAUUUUGUCAAUGCUGUUAGAAUGACAUCUGCCAGGUCUCCUGCAAACCUCCCUGGCUGGGCCUCAUCGCUUGAAAAACAGGCAGUCAGUGGUCACGUCUCUCUCCUAUAUGGCUCUGCCAACCCAACUCACUCCUGACCAGCCUCACCCCCUAUUAUCCCAGUCCUCGGUCCCUCACAUCUCUCCCUAGGGAGUUCACUCCUGUGCUGACCUGCACCCUCUACCAGGAUCCCUACACUAGUCUGCCAAUGCACUUUAGUCUUGACUUGUCCCACCCCUGCGAUAACCACACUACUCUGCUUGUGUACCUUGGUCCUGGCCUGGCUCUUCUACUGUGUUACUGACCCCUCCCAAUUCUGUGUAUGCAUCUCAGUCCAGAUCUGCAUCAGUUCCUCAUUAUUCCACCCCUGGGUGUCUCUCCAGCACCAGCUGAUGUUGUGUCAUAUUGGGUGUUGGUUCAGUGAUGUGUUCAGAAUGGAGCGGGCUACAACCCACACUGGUACUUGGGAAGAAAAAACUUGGUGCUUUAAUCCACAGGGUGUCACAAGCCCUUAGUGUCUGGGUUGUUUCUACUCAGAACAUCAGCACCCUCUUCAGAUACUGUGGUGAUUUGGGAGGGGCCUGUAAAGCCCCAGAUGGCUUAGAUCUCUUCUUUAAAAGAGGAUCUGAAUGCCCAGCUAUCCCUUUAAGAAAAAGUUGGUGUGUUAACAAAACAAUCACAUUCAUCCCCAUCAUCCACCCUUGAUUAACUGAAGCAGGGUAGGUAUAAAUCGUCAAUUCACAAACUGAACUUUUAAGGCUCAGGGGUGUAUGAGUAGAGCUCUCUGGGUUUAAAAGGAAAUGAUUUGUGUGUGUGUGUCUCAGUGUCCUUGCCUUGAGGUAUUGGCUGAAUACAAAUGGCAGUCUCCUGCUGUUUUCAGUUUUUUCUCUGAUUUUGAUUAUAAGUUCACCAGCAGCAGUAAGUGGUUUAUAACAUGGUCUGGUGUUUAUGGGCUGGUAUAAGUGGUCAGAGGUUUUAUCUUCCUCCCCCCCUCCACCCCAUUAAAUUAAUCUGUAGGGGUGAUGUGGGGAGGAACUGGGCAGGAGAAGCAAAGCCAAGGAAUCUAGAACAAACUAGCUGCUCCUCAAAGAUUCUUCCUUUUGAAAAUGGGUGUGGAAUCGCUUUGCUCUGUGUGUGUAUAAAUGUGUGUUCUAGCAGACACUGGAGUUCUGAUUUGCCAGAACCUUUUGUGAUAGUGGUGUGUCUAUUUCCCCCUUUCUCCCCCCUCAACAAACAAACAGUGAUUUAGCCCCAAAUAUCUGACUUAGACAUACUGGGAAAGUGGUGCUUUGGGUGUAACAGGGCUAUUCCCAGGUGUCCUGACUAGGAUUAGGGCACCUGUUGUGCUAGGUGCUGCACAAACACGGGGAAAGACAGAUUUUGCCCUGAGGCACUUCCAGUCUAAGAAAACAGCCCUGUUUCUGCUCUAAGGACUAUCUGCAAAGUCCAAACAUCUCAGAGGUGCUAGGUGUAGGAAUUUGUCCUGUGUACAGAACAUUUGAAUGCUCAUCCUGAAAUAUCACUUCUGUCUAACCUAAUCUUUAAUGUGACUCUUAGGAGUUAGAGUCUGCGGGGGAGGUGGUGCAGCUGCCUAAUUCCUAAUCAGCUUCUUCUACGACAAGUAAGGUGACUGCAUCUGAGAAGACAUGGCCCUUGGGAGGGCAGGUGCUGGGUGCAGCAUUCUAGCUGGUUAUUAAGUCUGGGAGGAGGUGCUGAGAAGUGGGGAGAAUGGAACUCCUUCCUUUCCUUACUCCAGUUUUGCAGGGAUUAAUCUCUUCAAGGAAAUAUUGUAGCAAAUGAGUUGGGUUUGCUCACCUCCCUGAAUGCUAUAAAGCUUCCAAUCUCAGUUUGCUCUCCUCCAUUGCCUUCUCCGUAGGCUGGUAUGAGGGCCAGGCGCUGCGGGGGCUUCAAGAGGUAGAGGACAGCAGUGGACUGGAAAAUUCUUUGUCUUUAGGUUCAGCUAGCACUCCUACGCUUAUGUAGUACAAAAACCUGCUUUGGGGCCUGUUCACAUAGGGGCACUCAGAAGAAAAUGAAUUAACUAAAGGUUGAUCGUCUGCAUUAGCUACAGUGAACUAAAACCACUCUCAUUCUAAGUGACAGUGUCCACACAGCAGGGGUUUAGGUGCAUUAACUUAACCCCUGUAGUUAAUUCAUUUUAACUUUCCAGAGUGUCCCCACAUGACAAGCCCUAGACUGGUAUACAUUAAUGCCAGAUAUGAAAAGGAGUGAGUUCCUCUGUAAAGAGACAGAGAAAUUGGGCAGUAGGCAAUUGGCUUGGGUUUCUGGGAAUUCUGAUAUGUUUGCCCUUAAUUAGUCUGCUGCCCCUUUCAUACUCUCCCAUUCCCCCUCCUGAUGAGGGCCGGGCAGAUACUCUGAUGCACCCAUAGUACAUGAGAGCAGCUGAGGUUCCUAAGCAAACUGUGAUCCUAGUUCUUCUUGUCCAUUCUCCAUGCAAGGAAAUGACCUAGUUAUAACUUCAGCUUCUCCAUUGCUGAGGCCGGCAAAAUAAACUUGGGUGUUCUGAGGUAUGUUUUCUAGCACUGCAGUGCUAGCUUAAAUCAGCUUCAUCCCUUCCAAUCAGGUUCUAUCAGCAUCUGGGCAGGGCAGUGUUUCAGUAUUUUUUUUUUUUUUUUUUUGGUGUAAACUUUUUUUUAACUUCUGGAUACCAGACCAGCAAAUCCUGCAAACUAUGACUCUGGAUUUCCUCAGUGCAUUCAGAAGCAGAGAACUGUGCAGCCACCAGGGUGGGCAAGACUCUUUCUAUAAAAUGGCAGGUGAACCUCUUCCUCCUCACUGGACAAAAUUAAGCAGCCAAUACAUUCAGAUGUGUGCUAUAUACUGAGGAAAAUAAGUGUCUUAGUGGCUGGACUUUUAGGAGUUCAUAGCAUCCUCAUAGGGUACAGAUGAAGUGCAUUUAUGAUUAAAAGGCGGAUGAAGCUUGGAGAGUGAAACUAUCUCCUUCCACUAAGUAGGGAUCUCUUAUCGAUGAGCUCUGGAGUGGGGGAGGGGAAUGGGCUGGCCAACAGUGGAGGUUCUAGGGCACUGAUCAACUCUCUGGAGGCUAAUGAUACUAAAGCUGAGAGCACUUUUGGUGGGAAAUACCCACAGUGGCCAAUAGCAUAUUCUCUAGCCUUCUUGUCUGUUCUCUAGGUGUGGUUAUUGUCACAGCCGUGGGCCCCAAACACAUCAUGUAGACUUUAAAAAAAAAUUAAAAUUGCUGCAUAAUCCUCUCUCAACCCCAGAAUCUCACUGUGUGUGGCUUCAGCGUCACCAAAUACACCAGGCUUGUUCUAGCCUGGGCCAGGGACUGAAUUUUAAGGUUAAAAAAAUAUCAAACCCUCACCUUUCAAAAAUUGAAGCAUUCCAUUAUGACUUAGUAUCCACCUGCAUAGGAGUCAGGCUGCUUAUAUGGCAGCUGGGCCAUUGCUUUCCUGCAUGCAGCUCUGCUCUCAGAAGGUAGCAAGCUUGGCCUCCUCUGCAGUGAAGAGUCAGGUGCUGGUGGUGUGGCAGCCGCACGGGAGGAGCAGAAUGUCGGAGCUCCUCUUCCCCAGGCAGAGCUCGCCAAGCUCGGUGCAUCCGGCAUGUUAACUGUCAGCGCCAUGGGUUCUAUGGUUCAGUGGAAGAUGCUAUGUGUCUCCCACAUCCUCCAAAAUGACAUGCGGCAUGACCGUGUCAGUCAGUACAGGCAACUGGGAUGCUUCAACAGUGCCCCUGACUCCCAGCACCCCUCUGGAGCCAGAACUGUGCAGGGGAGAUGGGGGUAUGAGGACUCCGCUGGUGCCUUCCCUUCCCUCUCCAGGUGGCCUGCGGGGGAAAUUACAGAGAGGAGCCAGCCACUGCUUCCAGCUGGUAGGCCAAGAGCCGCCAAAGCCAGAUCUGGAAGGUUCCAGCCAGACCUGCAGGAUGUUCUGGGGCCUGUGCUGACGGUCUGUUUGCUCCGACUCUUCCCCUCCAUUUCCCACAGUCUCUUCCCCGCAGCUUCACGCCACACCUCCCCUCCCCCUUCCCGGUGUAACCGAUCCCCCUCCUAAGUAAACCCACCCUAAAGGAAAAAAUAUCACGACACCAACGUCCUGUGCCCUUUGCCGCCACCCCCUCGUUCACUCUGCUGGCGUGCUACCCCCUUCCCCCAGCCUGUGCCUGGUGGGGCUAGGCAGAAAAGGCUUCCUCCUGCUCCCCGGGUGGGCUGUACCCAUCUGUCGGAGACAAGGUGCGUGAGGUCAGACCUUUGACGUUGGUGGGACAAGCCGUACCCGCGUGUCGUCUCCUAUACUCAGAGCGUCAGCUCUCCGGGGCAGGGCGCGUCCUGCUGCUCUGUGUCUGGACAGCACCUGGCACUGCGGAGUCCAGGGGCUACGCUCAGACAAACAAUCCCGGUGAGGAAGAAUUUUUCCCCGCUGGCUUGGUAUUCCAUGCCUGUCCACCUGUUUCCUAUGCCUCCCGCUGCUGCUGCCUGCGGUCAGCGCCAGGCUCCUGGCAUUGGGGGGGACGCAGCCUCCCACGAUGCAGCCCCCCUUCCCGCCUUCCCCCGGGCCUAGCUGCGUCUGGCCACCCAGAGGUAGAGGCACUGAAGGAGGGAAACCCCAGCAGGUGAGCGCUUGUCUCCCUUCAGCACUUGGCCCUCUUCCUGCUCACACCCACAGAGCUGGCUUGAAUGGCUGGGCAGCCCCUGCAGGCUGCCUCCCUCCAUGAGGAGAAAAGGAGGGAAGAUCUUUCCCCAUGGUAAGGGACACGGCGGUAGCAGGAGCCAGAAGGUGGCGCUGUUGCACACGGAUUGACAAGUUAUUUUCUUCACUUGGGAGCUGUGAAGAAUGCUGUGGUAGUUCUGCCAUGUAAUUUCUGGGGUGGGCGGGGGGGGGGGGGGCGUGUUAUUGCAGGCAGCAGAAAAGUUCGCUCUCUGCUUUCAUCUCUUUAACUAGAAUUUAUUUUGGGGGGCGAAGUUCCUUCCUGGGCACUGGCCACUGGUGCUGAGAUUUCAGACAAUGCAAUUUGUGACCGCCUCUGUUCGAGGGCUGCUAAGUACAGUGUAAAUAAAACAAGUUGCACUGAAAUAUACCCAGACUCCACAUCACUGAGUUCUCCUCCAACAGGAAGCUGACCUGCAACCCUCAAAAAUCUACAGCUACAGGGCAGACGGGUGAUGAUAUUGUUUCCUUCACUACUCCGUCGGGAACAGUCCUCGCCGUGGGCUCUUUGAAACAAGACCGCACAAGGUGAACUUCAAUAAACGAUGAUGCCCUUCUGAAUACUGGCAUAAUGGCACCCUCCAGAUCUAAGACUCAGGACAAAGCUGCCAGGGCAAAGAAAGCUGGUAAGGAGAGAGCUGCUGGCUGUGAGAAAAAGAGCCCUCCUGAGGAUUCCAUGGUCCAAGGUGGGAGACUGAGGAAAGAAAAGAGCAAUGCCCAAGCUACAUCUGAAAAACCCUCUUCUGAAAAAGAGACAGUUCCUUUAGUUAUAUCUGUACAGAGCACGUCAAAGAGCCAGAGGGAGGCAAGGAUUAAGGGAGGCAAAGAGUAUGGCCACAAAAAGCAAGCCAAAGGGGAGAGAACCUCCAAGGGCAAGGACAAAAGAGAAUUUGGUUCUGGUGGAAAGCAUGGAGAACAAUUAAUGUCCAAGGAGAAGAAAAAAGUAAGGGGCUCCAAGCAACAGGAUCUGAGAGGCCCAGGAAGCAAGGUCAGUGUUUGCCAUGAGGUAAAGGCCACUGAAGACCGCAAGAAACGUACUUUUAAAAGGAAGCACAGGGAGCACCUGAGUGUGAGUGAAAUGGCCAUUGAGACUGAGUCUGUAAAGUCCUUCACAGUGGGAAGUACUGAGGGCUCCUCUCAAAAACGCGAGUCUCCUCAGACUGAUGGCCGUGUCAGUGCUGGGAAAAAAUACAAUAAGAAGCAUGUCUCCAAAGCAACCACCAUCAGAAAGUCAGGUUCCCAGCUCCACGGCAGUCUGGAGCUCAGAUCUAAGACAGUGAAGUGUGGGGGUGGGGGUGAUGGACAGAAGAAGAAACAAGUUAGAAAAUCAGCCAGGACUAUUUCCAGUGUAAGUGAGGAAGGAAAGAGCCUGGAAAGCUCAGAUGAUGGGUCUUGUUUUGGCUCUAGAGAUGAAGCCAGUUGUAGCCAAGCAAGAAGAAAGAGAGAGACUGGUGAUGACAACACCCAAAUCAGUGAAGACAUAAGAAGCUCUUUGAAAGAACAACUCUCUAUUGAGGAAAAAACUACACAGGAAAAUUGGCUUCUGUCCAAAGGAAAAGGCUGCCGAGAGUCUCAUGAUGGAAACAACAACGCAACCGGGGAAAGUGAAAGAGAACAGGAAAUGAUGGACAACAGGCAAGAAUCUGAAGAUGAAGAAACUGUCUCAGAAGAGUCUGAGGCAGAUGGGAAAAUGAAGGAGCAGGAUAAAGUCUCUAAGCAAAGAAAAUCUACUCUAAGCGAUAGCAGUGAGGAAGAUUAUAGUGCAGGGGCUUCAGAGGAUGAAGUCAAAAGCUCAGCGAAGGGAGAAAAUGAGAGUGAUGAAGAAGAACAGGAAAACCUGUUGGAAAAAGACAACAGAGAAGAAAUGUCUGAAGAUGAGCAAGCUAAAUCUGAAAGCAAGGAGGAUGAAGAGGAUGGUGUUGAAGAAAUAGAUGACGACAAGCGAGAGAGACCAAGAAGGAAACUGCUGCCUAGCACUGUCAAAGCAAAGCUCCUUAACAUGGGCUUGAGCAAAGGCCCUCCGGGAAACAGUUGGGAAGGGAAUAUGAAUGACAGCGGCAGUAUGGUGAGAGAUGGCCCUGUGUGGCCCACACAGCAAAUGCCAAAAAAGAAAUCCCAGAACCCUGAGACAAUAAAGCAAGGUGAAGAGUUAGAACAUGUACAUCAGGAUAGUUCUUCCUCAGACAGCAACAGGAGGGUGGAUUCGGUGGUUGUGCUUGCAAAGAAGUGCAGUCCUCUCACUUUGCAAUCCCAGAUUCUCCUGAAUCUGAAAAACAAUCAUAAAGUUGCCCAGGCCAAACUGUUGGCAAGAAGUAAACAAAGUCCUCUCCAGAAGGCAGCAGAAACUAGCUCUGACCUGGAGAAGGUUCAAAAGGUCCCUUCUAAAAAGAGUGCCACAAAAACGUAUAAGGCACUUAGGGACUCCAGUAUAGCUAAGGAUCUUGGAGAGCCAAGAUUAAGUCUCUCCAAUGUUUCAAGUUCCUCCUCUAGUACUAAAAACCUAGCUGUUGAUAAGCAGCAUCUUGACAAGAGAGAGAAGAUUGGGAAAGUAAUUGGAAACGUCAAACACGCUUCGUGUCAGACUCUAGCAGUAAGAGAAGAGAUAGCGGAGGAGAAAGUGAUUGAAGAGGCACCCGCUGAAAAAGAGCGAGUGCUGAAGCAAAAGGGCAUUCAGUCCCUGCACACCCUUUCGGCAUUUAGAAAAGUAACUAGCUGGCUCAGCCAAAAACCUCCCAAGAAAGCAAGCCUGAAAGAUCGUUUUCGGAGGGCGAUGCGUGCAGUUGGUAUCUCAGACUGGCUCCUGAAGAAGUUUGGGAAGAGGAGCAGCAAGCCAUCUGGAUUCAGAAGAAGAAUGACGAUCAGGAUUGUUAGCACCACUGGACUAAUCAAUAAACAGGGCGGAGCCUCCCCUGGCCCAGCGGGAGAACAGAGAAAGAGGGAGUUGAGUAGCAAAAGCUCUUCUCAGCCAUUGCUAGAAUGGAAUCAUCCUCAUACAGAGGAGCUGGAAGAAGCCCAGUUGGCUUCAUGCAAUUCUCCCCGUAAUGAAGCUAACUCCUCUCUGCAAUUGCUAAAUUUGGAAGGACCUGCUAAGGAGAAGAACAGUGUCACUGAUGCCAAAUUCGCCAUUGUGUUCCCCAGGGUCCAUCACAUGGUGAAGACAAGAGGAGUUUCUUCCGGGAAUAGUGAAUCACAGCUGCAGUCAAUAGAUGUAUCUAGCAGGAAAGCAGUGAUGUCUGUGCAACCGGGCUGCAAGUUCAAACAUGACCUCUGGAAGGAGCAAACCUGUCAGAGGACCAGUCAAGGGCUUCCCCACAACGAUGAAAUUGAUCUAUCAAUGCCAGGUGAUCCGAGUCAAGCAAAAUGCCUUGCAACCCAGUACAGAGUGACUAGGCUUUUGAGCUCCUCAUCCCAAGAGAUAAAGAUGCCCGAGGGGAAAGAUAUAUCCAAAUCCCAGUUCCUCGCAAAGGGGCAAAGAGGGCAGUCACCAUACCAGGCCACUAAACCCCCCCUCUUCCCAGAGGCAGCUGGAAACUAUCGGUAUGAGCAGGGCUUCCUUCCACAGGAGGAAGGAGAGGACUCAGGGGAUCUGAUGGCCUCUUACUUUGAGGGAGAUGUUGACAAAGAGGCUGCAAAUCUUAUCCAACAUGCUGGGUCUGAAGCCCCAGCCCAGGUGCACUGGACUCAGCGGCGAACUCUGGAGUGUGAUCCUACGGCAUGGCUGAACUCUGAAAUGCUGCUCCCACGACUCACCAUUGAGAACCUCAGCAAAUGGGCCAUGUAUAAGGACCAGGAUCUAGUCAAGACCCACAGGCCGAAGACAUUGAGAGAAAGGUGGGAGGCAGAAGAUGUCACUGAGGAUAUCCUUGAGAUGGAUGUGACAUGGAAACAGGUGUACCUGGAUGAAAACCAUGGGGUGGAGCUUGAGGAGGUUGAAGAUCUGUCCAGACUGGAGGAGGUCUGUGAGAGCUCCGUCCUUCUGUGUCUGAAGAAGAGAUUCCAUCGCAAUUUCAUUUACACCUACAUUGGGCAAAUCUUGGUCUCUGUGAAUCCUUUCAAGCCCCUCAAUCUCUACUUGGAAGAGGUGGUGACCCAGUACCAGCAGGGGACGCUCUCCAAAAAUGCCCCACACGUCUUUGCCAUUGCGGAAAUGGCCUACUCUCUGUCCCAGACUUCAGAGCAAGAGCAGUGCAUCGUCAUCAGUGGGCACAGUGGAUCAGGUAAAACGGAAGCUGCCAAAGCAAUCAUGCGGUACCUGAGCACCUUGUACCAGAGACAAGACAGGCCCGGGAUCAGGCAGCCCUGUGACGUACUGCCCAUUCUGGAGAGCUUUGGGAAUGCUAAAACCAUCCUCAACGACAACUCGAGCCGCUUUGGGAAGUUUCUGCACAUCCACCUGAGACCUGGGGUCGUGAUGGGUACGUCCAUCUCCCAGUACCUUCUGGAAAAGUCCCGCGUUGUGUUUCAGGCCCAUGGUGAGAGGAGCUACCAUGUGUUUUAUGAGCUGGUGGCGGGGCUUCCUGCAGAGCAGAAAGAGAAGCUUUUCCUGCACGAGGCAGAGACUUACUUUUACCUGAAUCAGGGCAGAGCAUGCGACCUCUCAGGGAAGCAAGACGAUCGGGACUUUGUGGUCUUGGUGCAAGCUCUGCAGGUGAUUGGCCUCUCAGAUGAUCAGCUGACCUCCAUCUGGGCAGUGCUGGCUGCCAUCUUGCAGCUGGGGAACAUCUGUUUUACCUCCUGUGAGAAGGAAUCCUUUGGCCUUGCAGCCAUCCCCAGUGACACGGAAAUCCGGAUUGUGGCCAAUUUGCUGCAUGUCUCAGCAGAUCUCCUCCAAAGCGCCGUCACUCACCGCGUCACAGUGACGUCUUAUGAUCAUAUAUUCACCCCUUUGUCUGUAGAAAGUGCCAUUGAUGCCAGGGAUGCUAUUGCCAAGGCUCUGUAUUCCCUGCUCUUUGACUGGCUUCUGGUGAAGAUCAAUGAGUGGCUAGCCCCUGGGGAAAUGGACAGCUCUCUGGGCAUUGUCGACAUAUAUGGGUUUGAGGAUCUGGGGGUGAACAGCUUGGAACAAUUGUGCAUCAACUUUGCAAAUGAGCGUCUGCAACAUUUCUUCAGCCAGACAGUCAUUGCCCAGGAAGAGGAGGAAUACACCCAAGAGGAGCUAGUCUGGAUUCCCAUUUCCAAGAUGCACAAUGAUUCAUGCCUGGAUCUGAUUGCUGCAAAGCCCCAUGGCAUUUUACGCAUCCUGGAUGACCAGACUUCAUUGGCUCAGGCUACUGACCACACCUUCCUCCAGAAGUGCCAUUACCAUCAUGGAAACAGCCCUUGGUACGGCAAGCCCAAACUGCCUUCACCAGUCUUCACCGUGCAGCACUAUGCAGGUCCUGUCACCUACCAGGUUCACAAGUUUCUGCAUAAAAACCACGACCAGCUGCACCCAGAGGUCCUUGAGAUUUUCUCCCAGAGUCACCUCAAGCUGGUGUCCCACCUUUUCCAGCGGGCCAAGGGACAUCACGGACAGCAGGGGGUUUUGGCCGUGGGAGGCAAAGGGCUUAAGCAUCACCCCUCUACUCUGGUGUCCCGAUUCCAGCAGUCCCUGCAGGAUCUCACAGCCAAGCUGAGGAGAAGCCAUACUUUCUUCAUUCGCUGCAUCACGCCCAAUCCGAAAAAGCUGUCUGAUGUCUUUGAUGUGGAAUAUGUCACUUGUCAGCUGAGGCAUUCUGGGAUACUGGAGGCCAUCCACAUCAGGAAGGAGGGAUACCCCAUCCGCAUCCCAUUCCAGCACUUCUUAGUCAGGUAUGGGACCCUGACAGGCCAAGGGCAGAGCUGUUCGCAGGAGAGGGAUGGAUGCGCCGCAGUGCUCUCACAGGUGGUGGGGGACCCCUCGGACCUCUAUCAGAUUGGAGUAACAAAGGUCUUCCUGAAGGAGAAGGCCAGGCAGCUGCUGGAGAGAAGAUGGAACCAGAAGCAGAGCUGGGCUGUUGUCACCCUCCAGCGGAACCUCCGAGGCCUCCUCAGCCGCAGGCAAUUCCAGGUCUUCCGGCAGAAGGUCAUGGUCAUCCAGGCUCAUUUCCGGGGGCACCAGGCAAGGAAGCGCUGCAGGAGGCUGAAGAUGAUGCUGGUGCAGUUUGGGACGGUAGUGUUAAUCUCCAGGCCCUUGGUGCAGACACGGAAGCGCUGCCAGCAGAGGCGUGUGGACAGCAGGCAGAGAGAGGAGUCGCUGGCCAAAGGUGGCCAGGAGAGUGGUAGCUGCCCAGGAAUGGACGUGGGGCUGCUGGAGAUCCCCGCAGAGCUUGCGGCGCUCCUGCACUCUGCCAAAGGUCAGCACCAUGCCCAGGCCAAUCAGAUCGUGGAGGUUUCACCUCCAGAGGUCAAGACCAAGUGCUACCUCUCCCUCCCACCCAACAUCAAUAACUCUCCCUUCUCCGCCUUCAUGAAGUCUCACUUCCAGGAGCCCAACUUCCCUGCCCUUGGACAGCCCCUGCAGCAGCCCUUAACCCGCUUGGAGGGCGAGGACACGCAGCGCGCUCUGGAGAUCAACAAAUUGAUCCUUCGGUUCAUCGGGGACAGGAACCUCCAGAGCUGGCAGGAAGUGCUCCUGGGUAACUACAUCACCAGCCGAGGACUGGGCAACCCGGCCCUGCGCAAUGAGAUUCUGAGUCAGGUGGUCAGCCAGGUGUGGAAGAACCCAGACACAGAGCAGAGCCAGCAAGGCUAUACUCUGAUGGCUGCACUCCUGAGUGCAUUUACCCCUUCGCCAGCACUGGAGAAGCCCUUGCUGAAGUUCGUGUCAGACCACGGCCUGGAAGGCUACAACGCCGUUUGCCAGCGCAAGAUCCUCAUGGCAAUGCAGCAGACAGAUACGGACCCUGAGGUCUCCCGUGCCCAUCCUCCCACCCUGUUGGAGUGGACCGCUAACCAGAGGAGAGGGAAGAUGGUGCUGGAUGUCUUCACCUAUAACGAGGAGAUGUACUCUGCUGAAGUAGAGUCCUGGACAACUGGGGAGCAGUAUGCAGGCUGGAUCCUGAGUUCAAGGGGUUUGGAUAAGGACCCUCGAGGGUGGUCCGUCUCCAUGCUCAGAGGUGAGGUGUGGUGGGACCUGCCUGGCUGUGACUUCAUGCUGGAUCUCAUUGGAGAGAUGGAGGAGGCCGGCCACUCUUCCCUGUCCUCGACUGACUAUCCCAUCACACCCGAGUGGGAGGGGAGCCUGUCCCGGAGCGCCUCUAUGGACAUGAUGGACUGGGACAUCCCUCCUGCACCAGGCAUUCAGGCUCCAUCUUUCCCUCCUCCCUUUCCGCCGCCAUCCUUGGACACUGAGAACGUUUACACAGAGCUGGGAGUCCAAGGUGUCCCAAGGACCCCCAAAGGCCUAGAGCACUAUGUGGAUGACCUCUUCGACCCAGUGCUCCAUCAAGGGUCCAGAGUGCCAGAUAUGGAAAAUGGAGGGAGCCUGGCUGGACGCAUGAAAGGAGGUGGAAAGAUUGGACCCACUCAGCAAGGAGCCUUUCCUUCUGCAGGCUAUCCUGGAAUGAUGCAAGUACCAACUUACCAACCCAUGCCAGUGAUGGGUGGAAUGAUGCCAGCACCCAUGCCAAUGAUGCCAGCACCCAUGCCAAUGAUGCCAGCACCCAUGCCAGCCAUGGUUGCGCCCCAGCCCAUGGUCCCAGCUGUGGAUCCCAAUCAACUCGCAGCACAACAGCAAGCCUUUAUCAACCAGCAGGCCCUGCUCAUGGCUCAGCAGAUGACCCUUCAGGCCAUGACAAUUUCCCAGCAGCAGCAGCGACAGAGGUCUCCUGAGCCCUCAAGGCCAAGACGAGCCUUGACUCCACAACCAGCUCCAGCUCCAGCUCCAGCUCCGGCCCCGGCCCCGGCCCCGGCCCCAGCCCCGGCCCCAGCUCCCAAACCCAAGAGAACCAAUAACCACAAGAAUGCUGCACCAGCAGCUAAGACACCAGAGCCCCUGGCUGAUGCAGCAGAACCGAUCCACGUCUACCCGGAAGAGCAGCUGACAGAUAGUGACAAGGACUCAGACUUCCAAGACACCUUCCAGCAGAAGCGGGAGUACUUCCAGAAAAUGGGACAGCAAAAAAUCCAGUUGAAGAAAGUCAGGCCCCCUUCCAAGAGCUGGACCCCUCCAGGAAAUCCACAGCAGGAGGAAGAGCGGUCCAGCCCAGAACCAGAGACAGCCCCAGCACCCCCUUCGCCACGUCCCGCGCCAAAGCAGAAAGUGCAAGAGAAGAAAGCAAAGAACGAGCCGUGCCCUGUGGUGGCUGCAGAGUCGGCACCAAAGAGAGAGCCCAGCCGGGAGAUCCGCAACAUUAUUAAGAUGUACCAGAGCCGACCAGCCCCGGAGCCACAGCCCAUCAUGCCCGUCAGGAGGCCGUCCAAGUCCUUCCUGAAGAAGAGUGACCCCAAGAACGAAGCUCUGGCCAAGCUGGGGAUGGCGAGCCCUCAGCCUCCAAAAUCGCCCUCCUCUCUGAAGAAGAGCCCCAGAGGAGCUCCGCCCCCUCCGCCCACCAAGAAGGGCGAGACCGCCACAUCCAUCAGGGAAAAGCAGCAGCCUCUCUUGAAUCUCUUUCGCCAGCAGCCGGCCGCUCCCGCUGCUUCCUUCAUCCCUCCGCCUCCCCCACUCCUGCCCCCACCCCUUCUGCCUGCUGAGCAAGCCACGGAGCAAUCUGAGCCGAAAGGCUCUGGUUGGACAAUGGCAGAAGAAGAUGCGGGCAUCAAGACACAGCUCUACAAGCUCACUGCCAGUGUCAGUUUCUCAUAUGCCACUACACCCUGGAAAAUCUUCCUCCGCAAAGAGGUGUUUUACCCCAAAGAAAACUUCAGUCACCCGUAUUGCUUGAACCUUCUAUGUAAGCAGAUCAUGCAAGAUACUUACUCGGAGUCCUGCAUCCGGAUCUCCAAGGAGGAAAGGCGCAAGAUGAAAGACUUGUUGGCAGAAUUCCAGGUCGGCACGGACACCUCCUCCAUUCUAGAGGAUGGGAUAAAGAAGAGGAUUGUGGUGGCUGCUCGGGAUAACUGGGCCAACUAUUUCUCCCGGCUCUUCUCAGUUAAGGGGGAAAGAGGAAGCGACGUCCAGCUCCUUGGUGUUUCUCACCGGGGACUCCGGCUGCUGAAGAUGGCAAAAGCAGCCAGCUUCAGCCCUGAAUACCUGAAAAUCCUUUGCAGCUACAGUUUUGCAGACGUGCUGUCGGUGGAGCUGAGGGGCAGCAGCAGCCUGGAGUUCUCCCUGAAGAAUGAGCAGCUGAUCCUGCACUCGGCGAAGGCUCGGCAGGUCAAGGCCAUGGUGGAGCUUUUCCUCCAGGAGCUGAAGCAGGACUCCAACUACGUCAUUGCUCUGCGCAGCUAUGUCACAGAUGACAAGAGCCUCUUGAGUUUCAAGAAGGGUGACCUCAUCCAGUUACUGCCCAUGCAGGGGCUGGAGCCAGCGACCUGUCCCUCUCUUCACCCACAUCUGGCAGACUGGCAGUUCGGCUCCAUUGGUGGCCGCUCCGGCCUCUUUCCCUGCAGCAUGGUGCAGCUGGCGGCAGCCCCCGAUUACCUCAGCACCCACAUGGACAGACAGGAGAGGCUCCAGAAGAGCCUGAAAAGAGACCAGCUGGAGACUAGUAUUAGCAGGGAGAGCUCUGUCCCCAGCCUGGCAUCGGAAAUCACCAGCUCUGCCUUCUCCCCAGACGCCCAUCACUACACCAUGGUGGAGUUUGCCAUGGCACACUUCCGGGAGGCCCAGUCCACGCUGGGAUGGAAGGGGAUGAGUGCAGAGAGGAGGAGCCCAGCUACCCUGGUCGAGCACACCAAGGUCCCGAUCCAGGAGUCCCUGCUUCAGUACUCCGACAGCGAGAUGAACGAGCUGGCGACAAAGAGCUUUAUGACUUUGAUGAGGUUCAUGGGAGACCAGCCCACCCUCAAGAACCAGGCCGAGAUCAAUUACGUCUAUGAGAUUCUUCAGCUCUGCAAGGAGAAGAAGAACCUGCAUGAUGAGGUUUACUGCCAGGUCAUCAAGCAGAUCACGCAGAAUCCCAAGCCGGAAAGCUGUAUCCGUGGCUGGCAGCUCCUGAGCCUGCUCACCGGCUUCUUCCUUCCCUCUAACACCUUGAUGCCAUACGCCACCAAAUUCCUGCAGCAAGCCAGCGCCGAUCCAGCCAGCACUCACCAAGAUCUAGCCAGGACCUGCUAUGGCAACCUGCGGCAGAUGAUCAUGUACGGCGGCCGCCGGCACCUGCCCUUCCGCGUGGAGAUGGAAGCACUUCUGAAGGGGCGUGGCUCCCGCCGGAUGGUGAUCUCCCUGUCAGGGGCCCUGGAAUACAACACCAGAAUCAGGACGUUCACAGUGGCUGGGGAAGUGGUGCGGGAGAUCUGCGAGCAGAUGGGGAUCAGCGAGCAGGAGGAGAUCCAGGAGUUCACUCUCUUUGCCAGCAAGAACGGUGGGAAGGUGGUGAGGCCGGUGCGCCAGGAUGAAUACAUCCAUGACUACCUGCUGGAGGACAGGUCGGUGAUCCUGGAUUUACGCCGGCUCUCCUGGAAGACACCCCUGCACUUCGAGAACGAGAUGUAUAUCAGCAUUCACUACAGCCAGGUGCAGCACGAUUACCUGGAAGGGAAGCUGUUGCUGAACUACAACAGUGAACUGGAGAACCAGGUGGGCACCAUGGCCCUUUUCCAGCACUGGGCCAGAGGACUGGGCUCCCCACCAUCCAAUCAGGAGUUGAUGGACUAUGCCCCAAAGCCCGUGCUCCAGCUCAUCAACCCACAGGUUCUCCAAAGCCAAGUCAACCGGCUGCUGGAAACCAUGAACCCACUCGGAGAGCAGGAGGCAAAAAUCCAGUUCAUAGAGCAUGUGAUUCAGCUGCCCCUCUUCGGCUACAACUUGUACCCCAUGGAGCGCUGCAGCGAGCCCAGGAUUCCUCUACCCUGCAUCCUGGCAGUGAAUAGGGACCAGAUUGUUGUCAUGGCCAGCAGGUCCCAGGAGUGCUGCUGCUGCAUCCCGCUGAAGGAGGUGCAGAGGAUGCGAACCCUGCGGCCUUUGGACGACUCCGGGGUGCCGGGCCUGGAAGUGAACUAUGGCUCUGUGAAUAAUCCUCAGACCAUGUGGUUUGAACUGCAACAGGAAAAGAGAGAGAGAGAGAGAGAGAGAGGGGUCAAACAUUUCCAUCAUGAGCAACAUAUAUGAAGGACUACAGAGAACACGAGAGACCCUAUACGCAGCUCCAACCACCUGUUCCAGGAAGGAUGAUGCCAAAAUUAUAAAGGUGUGGGAAAGGCAGCAAAAAGGACAGAAGAGACUGGGGAGCAGGGAGAUCGCAAAGGCUGCUGAAACAACGGAAGAGCCAGAGACGUUGUGGCCGUGGAUUCGUCAACACCUUACUACCAAGUUUAAGCCUAGGGGUUUUGAUUUACCAAGCAGAAAACACAGCCAAGAGCUGGUGAAGAAACUAAAGCAGCAGGCUCCAAACAAGCUCAGUGCGAGCGUGCGUGCUGAAGUCAGGAGGAACACAGUACUACCCAG